rnacentral:tRNA from 1 species
UGGCGCCUGGCAUGGUGGCUCUUGACAUGGUGGGGGUCGUUGGUUCGAGUCCAAUCGCGCCUACCA